UUCCUGUGUAUUGGAGGCUUUCUGAAGGAGGCAGUUAAGAAGAGGGGGCCAGGCUGCUCUUGCUGUUGCUCCAUUCAAGAAUGGGGCAUAUGUAAACUAAGGCUGGCUGGAAGAACCUGAACUGAACAAUUCUGUCAAAGAAAUCAGACUUAAAUAAAUCUAACUCACUCACAGAACUGGGGUUUUUGUGCUGUAAUUCCAUUUUAAGGAGAAAGGGAUGAUCACGACCCCACUGAAGGCUGGAUAUCCUGGUUCGGCCUUGGCCAUCCCAGUCACCAGGGAGGUGCCUGGGGCCCAGGGCUGGAACUACCCCUGCACUCAAUCUGGCCUGCUCCUGGCUGGGAGCAUAGAACAGGCCCUGUCUGCCAGAUCUGGCCCUGCCCAGGGCUAGUGAGUCCCUGCUGCUUCCUGAACCUAGAUCUCACAAAGCCACUGGCCAUCACAGUGCCUUGACCAAGAAGAAUUUGGUGAUGCAAUUCUUCCAACAACUGGGAAAGCCCUGUGCUUGCAGGGUAGUAGUGGCUCAUACUUCUUAUCUUGAUUUUUAGUGUGGUUUUCAAGAUUGUCUCACGUGACACCUCAGAUGAUGCUUUUGACCCUUUCUCCUGUAAGAUUCUCAUAGAGAAGCAGAUGAAGUAUGGGCUACAUAAGCAGUCAGUAAGGUGGACUGAAAGCUUGCUAAGCUGAUCGACUCAAAGGAUUCUGACCAGCAGCACAAAUUCUAGCUGGAGGCCAGUCGCUAGCAGUUCAUCCCGUCCACUUCCUAUACUGGGGGACGCAGAGCUGAAUGCAGUACUCUAGGUGAGGUCUCAAGAGCACAGUAGAUGGAGAGAAUCACCUCCCUUGACCUGCUGCCCAUGCUUCUUUUGAUGAAGUCCAGGGUAUGGUUGGCUUUCUGAGCUGCGAGGGCACAUUGCUGGGUCAAUGCUGAGCUUCUCAUCAGCCUGUGUAUAUCCUUGGGAUUGCCCUGACCCAGAUGAAGGACCUUGCACUUGGCCUUGAACUUCAUGAGGUUUGCAUGUAUCAUCAGGUGAACUUGACAAUAGCAAAAUAUCGAUGUGUUUUUAAUAACAAUAUAAUAUUUCUUUGCUCUUAGAAAAAAAUGCAGGUAAAUGGAAUUUAAAUCCUUGCUUCAAGUUAUGGUGGUUAAGGUGUGCGUGUUCAAGUUAUUUUUAUUUGAAGAACUAACUUUCUAUGGUUCCCAGAAUAACUGAUGCUUAUGCCUUUAUUGCAACACACUAUUCUUGUCUUGGAGAGUUGACGGUGAAUGACUUUAUCUGUGACUCUACAAAAUAUGUUUAUUCCAAAAGAGUGGGCUUUUGUAAGUGAAUAGUUGGUGCCUUGCUCAGAGGACAAAUGCUUCAUCAUACUUGCACAAAACUGCAAGAGUGUGAACAUUGCUUUGGAUUGUGGGCCUUUGUAAAAAGAGUGUUAUCUGUUAAAGUACAAUGGUUCUGAUUCUUUUCUCUAUUCAGAUAAUAAUUUUUUUUUCAGGAACAGUAUCAGUACCACCACAGUGUUGCUAUGACCCCAAGGGAAGACAUUCUUCAAUGAGCCUACUGUAUAGGAAAGUGGAAGUAAAUUGUUAGAGGCAAAUAGAAUAAUAUAAAGAAAUAGUAAGGCAGGUUUACACAACAAGCAGAGGCUUUGUCACACCAGUACUUAAAUCACUACCAAUUCUUUCUACAUAUUGAGUGGCAAGAGAGAUUACUAAGAAAGAAUUUAAGAUAGUUUAAUGAAGUGGAUUUGUUAACUGGCAACCUCUCUCAAACGCAAAGGAAAAUGUGGGAGAAAACUUAAAGAUACUUAUUUGAAAUUUUAACAAAUGAAUAAGAGCUAGAAUUGGCGGAAUGGGAGGCAAUGAAAGAUGGUAAAGAAAUAAGAUCUUCAGAUAAUGUUAUACUGUCCGAAUUCCUAUACUGUUUUCAGUAUAGAAUUACUGUCAUGAAAACUCAUGUACUUUCUUUACUUGUGUAAGCAGAUGUCUGCAGUGUAAAACAUGCCCUGGAGCUCUUUUUCAUCUAGAAUUCACAACAUUUAAAUUUACCCUGCAAUUGAAGCUCUAAGGAGUGUCCUGAGUGGUAGGUGAAAGUCCAUCCUGUAGAUACUCAUACAGGAAAAAUGGUGAUCCAGUAUGAAGGAAACUGCACUUGAGUGAACAGCGAACCAGUCUGUUUGAUCUGAAGGAGAUAGAGGCAUAGUAAAAAGACAGCUUUGUGAGUUGUCUGUUCAGAGAUAAUCGCUUCAGCAAACAUUCAGUUACUACCCAGUUUAGAGGUAGUAGCUGAGUUAAUGUUUGCAGACAACACUACCCAGAAAUACAGUAGGUGCAGGAGGCUGGCAAUUUUUUCAGUUUACCAUUGUACUUUCGAAAAUACUGCUUGGUUAAGAAUGCAAAUUUUUUUAUAACAAAUCUACAGUGUCAAGAACUUGUCACAAGUG